rnacentral:lncRNA from 1 species
UUUGGGUGUUAGAAACACUUUGAGGAUUUUCAGGAGACCUGCGGAUGAUGAUCUUUUUGACACAGUGAUUGGCUGUUCGGGUUUGUUAUGCUUUCAGUAUUUUGAUACAAAUGCAGCUUCUAUAAAUUUGCAUUCCACGCAGAAAUGCAGUCUGGAUGGUUGUUUGCAGAAGGAAGCUAUAUCUUUCUGUCUCAAGCAUUACACCAAUUUGUUGGCAGCAUCAUGUGGCAGUCCCAACACAGCAAGGUUAUAAAGAAGCAGAAGUCCCUAAGUCCUUCACCGCCUCAUGAACCCAGACUGUUGUUAGCAAUGGACACAAGCAUCAAGUUAAGGGCUGGAGGGCUGUUUCCUGUGGUUCCAGUGUUAGGCUUUGACACCAACACACCCACUACAGAGAGCAACAGCACACACAGCCAAGGAAUGUCAGAAAACACAGUCUCCAUCACAGAAUUUCUUAGGCCAGCAAUAUUACACAAAAUCGAUCUUCAACAGAAGAAUACUGUAUCUGAGAAAAUACAACUUUUAAAAAUUAAUAUUCAGAAAGAAAGAAUAAAACUGUUUGCAGAUCGAGGGGCUUUUAUUUAAUUAUUUGAUUGAAAUAAAACAAUAUUUUAAAUAUAUACUGAGCUUUUA